rnacentral:rRNA from 1 species
UACGUAGGAGGCAAACGUUGUUCGGAAUUACUGGGCGUAAAGCGCGUGUAGGCGGCUAUGUAAGUCGGGCGUGAAAUCCCACGGCUCAACCGUGGAAGUGCACCCGAAACUGCGUAGCUAGAGUCCUGGAGAGGAAGGUGGAAUGCUUGGUGUAGAGGUGAAAUUCGUAGAUAUCAAGCGGAACACCGGUGGCGAAGGCGGCCUUCUGGACAGUGACUGACGCUGAGACGCGAAAGCGUGGGGAGCAAACAGG